rnacentral:rRNA from 1 species
CCCUUAGAUGUCCUGGGCUGCACGCGCGCUACACUGACACGUUCAACGAGUUUUGCCUGCUCCGAUGGGACUGGGUAAUCUUUUGAAAGCGUGUCGUGACGGGGAUAGAUUAUUGCAAUUAUUAAUCUUCAACGAGGAAUUCCUAGUAAGUGCAAGUCAUCAGCUUGUGCUGAUUACGUCCCUGCCCUUUGUACACACCGCCCGUCGCUCCUACCGAUUGGGUGAUCCGGUGAAUAACUCGGACUGCGGCUAUACGGGAAACCGUUGGCUCGUGGAAAGUUUAGUAAAUCUUAUCACUUAGAGGAAGGAGAAGUCGUAACA